UCCCUCCCUCCUUCCCUCCCUCCCUCCCUCCUUCCCUCCCUCCUUCUAACUAAUCAAGGAGACAGGUUCUGUCGAAGGAACUGGUAGUUAUUCCAAAGCACCCCCUUUUCAGUAAAAAGACUCUGCUGCGAUUCCUUAUUCUUCUCACGUCUUCAAGGAAUACGUAAAGCUGAUCUCCAUGCAAGAAAAAAGGUAGUGUGCAGUUUUUUACU
rnacentral:lncRNA from 1 species